AGUGAACGCUGGCGGCGUGCUUAACACAUGCAAGUCGAACGAGAACGGAAUAUAGCUUGCUAUAUUUGUCGGCUAAGUGGCGCACGGGUGAGUAAUGUAUAGAUAACCUGCCCUUAAGAAAGGAAUAACAGUUGGAAACGACUGCUAAUGCCCUAUAUGCCUUUAAUACAUAAGUAUGCAAGGGAAACGCUUUAGUGCUUAAGGAUGGGUCUGUAUGGUAUCAGCUGGUUGGUGAGGAAAUGGCUCACCAAGGCUAUGACGCCUAACUGGUUUGUGAGAAUGUUCAGUCACACUGGAUAUCAGACACAGUCCAGACUCCUACGGGAGGCAGCAGUGGGGAAUAUUGCACAAUGGUCGAAAUUCUGAAGCAUCAACGCCGCGUGGAGGAUGACACAUUUCGGUGCGUAAACUCCUUUUAUAUAGGAAGAUAAUGACGGUACUAUAUGAAUAAGCACCGGCUAACUCCGUGCCAGCCGCCGCCGUAAAAC
rnacentral:rRNA from 1 species